AAUAGAUACCCCGGUAGUCCACGCCGUAAACGAUGAAUGCUAGGUGUUAGGGGUUUCGAUACCCUUGGUGCCGAAGUUAACACAUUAAGCAUUCCGCCUGGGGAGUACGGUCGCAAGACUGAAACUCAAAGGAAUUGACGGGGACCCGCACAAGCAGUGGAGUAUGUGGUUUAAUUCGAAGCAACGCGAAGAACCUUACCAGGUCUUGACAUCCCUCUGAAUCCUCUAGAGAUAGAGGCGGCCUUCGGGACAGAGGAGACAGGUGGUGCAUGGUUGUCGUCAGCUCGUGUCGUGAGAUGUUGGGUUAAGUCCCGCAACGAGCGCAACCCUUGAUUUUAGUUGCCAACACUUUAAGGUGGGCACUCUAGAAUGACUGCCGGUGACAAACCGGAGGAAGGCGGGGAUGACGUCAAAUCAUCAUGCCCCUUAUGACCUGGGCUACACACGUACUACAAUGGCCAGUACAACGGGAAGCGAAAUCGCGAGAUGGAGCCAAUCCUAUCAAAGCUGGUCUCAGUUCGGAUUGCAGGCUGCAACCCG
rnacentral:rRNA from 1 species